UACGUAGGGGGCAAGCGUUGUCCGGAUUUAUUGGGCGUAAAGAGCGUGUAGGCGGCCAGGUAGGUCUGCUGUGAAAACUCGAGGCUUAACCUCGAGCUGUCGGCGGAAACCAUCUGGCUAGAGUCCGGAAGAGGAGAAUGGAAUUCCCGGUGUAGCGGUGAAAUGCGUAGAUAUCUGGAGGAACACCGGUGGCGAAGGCGGCAUCCUGGACCGACACUGACGCUGAGGCGCGAAAGCUAGGGGAGCAAACGGG
rnacentral:rRNA from 1 species